ACUUGCUCGGGCGCUCAAACUGGACGCGGCAAAUGUAGGAUUGGCGGUCCGACGCGAGCCUCGCGACCUAACAUGGCGUCGGGCAGGAAAUCCACCCAACACAGAAACAUGAUCGCUACCAAUAGUGAGUCUCUGGCGUAUCUCCACAGCUUGGGUUUCCCUUAUGGUUGCGAUACGCGAACAGGCCUGAUAAGGGGAGCGCAUUCCAUCCGAGCGCAGCGCAGGCAAGCAAAACUGGAAAAUGGACAAGUGUUGUUUUCUGAUGCCAGGGUGCAAGUAGAGAUGUCUUAGAUGAUCACUUGUUAUGCUGUUAUCUCUCUUAUCCUUGUAUAUCGUAACGUGUAAUGACUUGAGUUCCGCAAGUCCUCACUGUAGCAAGCGCGCCCGAAUAAUAAAGUAACAAUAAAAUCACUCAAUUAUAUUAUGAAACAGAACUCGUAAUUUUUGCAUGAUAACAUUUAAUUCUUGUAACUACUUUUAAAAAUUCAGUUCUUUUAUGCUACUAGAUUAAGUAGGUGGUUGCUCAUCUCGUUCUCUUGUCUUAUUCGCCGUAAGCGUUUGUUCGUCUAGCAGAGGACGGGUGAGGAUUGUGCGAAUACGAUUUGAAUUCUGUAGCAUUAGAACAAUCUUUGUACACGUCUGAUACUUUCGCGCUUCAGAUCCCAGCACUAAAUCAAAUGGCAUCAGAGGCGUGGCCUUCUUCGUUAUAGCAGAAUGGCAUAACUUGCUUAUGGCAGAAAGUAAAAUGUUUCUUCUAAUUAAUCACUGAAGUAAUCGGUUGACAGCAACAGGAACACACAAAAAGGAACAAUCUGCUGGAUGUCUAUUCAACUUGGCUUUCUGGACCUUUAUGACUUAGAGUUUCAGCCGCUAUUAAAAGGUCAUUUCCACAGUUUUUAAUUAAAACUGAUUUGCUGUAUCCUUUUUAUAUUCUUUUUAAACUGCUUGCAGUGUAUGCAUGCGUAUAUUUAUAUAUCUUUUAUUUUCUGCCACGUAUUUUCAAAGUAAAAUAGAAUUCUUUGAUAUCCCUGCUUUAAUGUUUAGUAUUUCUGACUUGAGGCGAUAUACCAACAUGAGUUUAACCGGAGUGACCUCUUUUAGACGCAGAGUCUGGAAAGCCGAUUACAAGGUCUGAUCAUAUUCACGUGAUCCUACUACUGACAAGAAACCGUUUUUUCCCGUCCGGUUAAAGCAAGUACAAGUCUUAAUGUAAAAGAUCCACGACGAAGAUCUCCUUUUCCUUCUUACUAGUUAUGCCUUUGCCCUAGGGGCCUAAUAAAUUACACACACAGACACUAA